UUAAAAGUAUAUCCCAAUAACAGUGUUAACUAUCCUAAAAACUAACAGAAACCCUAGUGUCACUCUAAAGCCAUUCGCAUGCAGCUUCCGCCUCGUCAGCAAGUUCGUCGCCCAAGAUUUGACACCUUGUCUGCCUCUUUCACCAAAAUGGAAAGGUGUGGCUUCCCAACGCCGUUGACCUUGUCAUGAACACCUACAAAAAAGAAAAAAAAAGAACAGAAACGCAGCACGCAAAGAACGAUAGAAAAGAAAAAUGAAAAAUAGCAGUAUAAUAUAACACAUUCGACUAUAAAAGCCACAACAGCCAUGUACUUUUUUUUGGAUACAGAGAAUCAA
rnacentral:lncRNA from 1 species